AAAGAGUUUUGAUCUCUUAAUUGCAGGUUCAAUUCCUGU
rnacentral:tRNA from 1 species